CAAGCGUUAUCCGGAUUUAUUGGGUUUAAAGGGUGCGUAGGCGGUUUGAUAAGUUAGAGGUGAAAUUUCGGGGCUCAACCCUGAACGUGCCUCUAAUACUGUUGAGCUAGAGAGUAGUUGCGGUAGGCGGAAUGUAUGGUGUAGCGGUGAAAUGCUUAGAGAUCAUACAGAACACCGAUUGCGAAGGCAGCUUACCAAACUAUAUCUGACGUUGAGGCACGAAAGCGUGGGGAGCAAACAGGAUUAGAUACCCUGGUAGUCCACGCAGUAAACGAUGAUAACUCGUUGUCGGCGAUACACAGUCGGUGACUAAGCGAAAGCGAUAAGUUAUCCACCUGGGGAGUACGUUCGCAAGAAUGAAACUCAAAGGAAUUGACGGGGGCCCGCACAAGCGGAGGAACAUGUGGUUUAAUUCGAUGAUACGCGAGGAACCUUACCCGGGCUUGAAAGUUAGCGACGAUUCUUGAAAGAGGAUUUCCCUUCGGGGCGCGAAACUAGGUGCUGCAUGGUUGUCGUCAGCUCGUGCCGUGAGGUGUCGGGUUAAGUCCCAUAACGAGCGCAACCCCUACCGUUAGUUGCCAUCAGGUGAAGCUGGGCACUCUGGCGGGACUGCCGGUGUAAGCCGAGAGGAAGGUGGGGAUGACGUCAAAUCAGCACGGCCCUUACGUCCGGGGCUACACACGUGUUACAAUGGUAGGUACAGAGGGCAGCUACCCAGCGAUGGGAUGCGAAUCUCGAAAGCCUAUCUCAGUUCGGAUUGGAGGCUGAAACCCGCCUCCAUGAAGUUGGAUUCGCUAGUAAUCGCGCAUCAGCCAUGGCGCGGUGAAUACGUUCCC
rnacentral:rRNA from 1 species